UUUACCCAUGAACGGCCGAAGAGUUUGUGUCAUUACCCGCAUGAAAGUACUCGGCGCAUUACUUAGCCCAAAAGGCAUGACCAGCCAUUCAUAAAGGCCAUCUUUCGUUUUAAACGCGGUCUUCCACUUAUCCCCUGGGCGAAUUCUAAUUUGAUGGUACCCACUCUUUAGAUCGAUCUUUGAAAAGAUUGUCGCGCCAACCAUCAUAUCCAGCAUAUCAUCAAGCCUGGGAAUGGGAAAACGAUACUUCACCGUGAUCCUAUUGAUAGCGCGACUAUCCACACACAUUCUCCAAGAUCCAUCCUUUUUUGGCGUCAAUAGGGCGGGGACAGCACAUGGGCUUAAACUCUCACGAAUGAAUCCUUUGUUGAGAAGGUCAUCUACUUGCCUUUGGAGCUCAGCGUGCUCGGUAGGAUUCAUCCUAGAAUGCGGCAAAUUUGGAAGGGAUGCACUGGGGACGAAAUCUAUGGCAUGUUGAAUAUCUCUUAGCGGAGGUAGAUGAUCAGGUAGGUCCUCCGGAAAGACAUCUCGAAACUCCUGAAGGAUCGAUUGGACUUCCGCAGUAUCCUCACUUGUGGAGUUAGAUGAAACCUCCAUGACUACUAAGGCGAACACAUUUGAGUCACCAACAAUUGUACGCUCAAACUCUGUAGGACUAAUGAUAUGCAACCCCUUUUGUUCCACACUUUUCUUCGCUUCUGGUGAGCUAGCCGGCUUUGGGGGUAGUGGGUUAAGGUGAAUCUUCUUUCCAUUAAACACGAAGGAGCAGGAAUUGGAUCGACCAUAUAUGGUUACAUCUAGGUCAAAUAGCCAAGGUCGUCCUAAGAUGAUGUGCCCAACGUCCAUCGAAAUAACGUCACACCAUAUAUGGUCCUUAUACUCCAGGAACUGGAUAGGGACUAAACAACGCUCCUUAACAGCUAUGGAGGAGGUGUCAACCCAAGAGACACUAUAAGGUUGGGGGUGAGGAACUGGCUUCAACCCUAGACGGGAUAUAGUAGCCUUCGAAACCGCAUUAAUACAGCUGCCACUAUCCACGAUAACUUUACAGCCCUUGUUAUUAAUCUUGAUGUAGGUGUGGAAGAUGGCAUGACGGCGCCAAUCGUCGGCAUCCUUAGGCUGGGUGAGGGUGCAACGGACGACACCGACUCUGGGCGUAUGUGGGAUAAUGGGACUAGCCUGAAUACAACCUAAGAAGGUAUCCUCACUGUCCUCCAAGUCUUCAAACUCUUUUAACUUAGGCUCAUAAACCUGAUCCUCUAGUGGUUCGACGACUACAUCCUCACGUUCGUCCAGAACUAGGGCUCGGCUAGGGCACUUAGAAGCAAUGUGACCAAAACCCUUACAGUUGAAGCAUUGCAAACGGGAGGAUGUCCUUGAAACCUUAGAACCUCUACCUUUGCUAUCCGAUGCAGGGGUAGUAUUAGAGGGAGGAGGACCUAAAAUAGACUUAGGGGAUGGCGUGGAUGCAGAUGAGGUUGUGGUGCGGGAGUCACUACGAUUUCUAUACGGUGUCC
rnacentral:lncRNA from 1 species